GAUGAACGCUGGCGGCGUGCUUAACACAUGCAAGUCGAACGGUGAACGAGGGAGCUUGCUCCCUCCGGAUCAGUGGCGAACGGGUGAGUAACACGUGAGCAAUCUGCCCUGGACUCUGGGAUAAGCGUUGGAAACGACGUCUAAUACCGGAUACGAGGCGUGGGAGCAUCCCCAACGCCUGGCAAGAACUUCGGUCCAGGAUGAGCUCGCGGCCUAUCAGGUAGUUGGUGAGGUAACGGCUCACCAAGCCGACGACGGGUAGCCGGCCUGAGAGGGUGACCGGCCACACUGGGACUGAGACACGGCCCAGACUCCUACGGGAGGCAGCAGUGGGGAAUAUUGCACAAUGGGCGCAAGCCUGAUGCAGCAACGCCGCGUGAGGGACGAAGGUCCUCUGGAUUGUAAACUUCUUUUACAGGGGAAGAAACCCGGAAAUUCUUUUUCGGUUGACGGUACCCUGGGAAUAAGCACCGGCUAACUCCGUGCCAGCCGCCGCAGUAAGAC
rnacentral:rRNA from 1 species